CCUACGGGAGGCAGCAGUGGGGAAUAUUGCACAAUGGAGGAAACUCUGAUGCAGCGACGCCGCGUGAGUGAAGAAGUAAUUCGUUAUGUAAAGCUCUAUCAGCAGGGAAGAUAGUGACGGUACCUGACUAAGAAGCUCCGGCUAAAUACGUGCCAGCAGCCGCGGUAAU
rnacentral:rRNA from 1 species